AAAUAAGAUGCGCUAGGGAGGUGACAAAUUCAUAUUUAAACUAUUGCUCUAAUAUUUAUGACCAGGGAAGUUCUCAUCAAUGUAUGUAAUAUCUCACAAUAAUCCCAUGCGCUCCCCUGUAGUAACUGCUUGUUAUAGUCCGGAAACGUUCCUGUCCAGCAGUAUCCCAAAUUUGCAGCUUGAUUGUCUUUCCAUCCUGCUCCACAGUCCUAAUUUUGAAAUCAACUCCAAUGGUGCUAAUGUAACUGUCAACAUACGAAUCAUCGGCGAAUCUGAGAAGAAGACAGGAUUUGCCGACAGAAGAAUCGCCGAUCAACAACAGUUUGAACAAGUAAUCGUAUUCGUUGCUCAUGUUUGCUUCUUCCCUUCUUUUGGCUAACAGAGUUUUCUGAGAAGUGAGAGAGAUGAUUUCUCUUUUCGUGUG
rnacentral:misc_RNA from 1 species